CAGUAAGCGGAUAUUACUUAUACAUACUCUAUCUGUCAAGGAUAUAACUUCAUUUUCACAUUUAUUCUCUAACUGUUAGAAGAUCGAAGUCUUUGUCAGGGGCAUUUGCCUGUUUAUAUUUACUUUUGUUGUAGGUGAGACGUUAUGCGGAGUGGACAGAGGAUCCUCUGGACCUAGAGGUAGAGAUGUGGAAGAGUUUGAUAUUGUUUCUAAAGACAGGCUCGGCAGUGUUGACACCACAGAGGAUAUAUAUGCAGGAUAUAACGAAGGAGCAGAAGUGCAUGAAUCUGGCAACAAUUCUCGAGUCAUUUCAACGUUAAGCGUAACAAAUGUGGUCCAUGGGGUGACUGGGGCCCUGUACAGCUCUGCCCUGAUGGUUCAUAUGCCGUCGGUUACAACAUGAAGAAGAUAGAAAAACCGGUAUGUGCAGACGACACAGCACUGAAUGCCAUCAAGCUAAUAUGUGAAUUUCCAGACGGGAACGAAACUGGCGAAAUCACUUCGACGCAAGGACACUGGGGCUCCUGGGUUGGACAAAUAAAAUGCCCUUCCCGUGUGCGUGAACGUCUAUACCUGACAUCCUUUGAUCUUCAAGUACAGAAACCAAAGGUAGACG